rnacentral:rRNA from 1 species
ACUCAUGAUGAUACGCUGGCGGCGUGCCUAAUACAUGCAAGUCGAGCGAACAGACGAGGAGCUUGCUCCUCUGACGUAGCGGCGGACGGGUGAGUAACACGUGGAUAACCUACCUAUAAGACUGGGAUAACUUCGGGAAACCGGAGCUAAUACCGGAUAACAUGUUGAACCGCAUGGUUCAACAGUGAAAGACGGUCUUGCUGUCACUUAUAGAUGGAUCCGCGCCGCAUUAGCUAGUUGGUAAGGUAACGGCUUACCAAGGCAACGAUGCGUAGCCGACCUGAGAGGGUGAUCGGCCACACUGGAACUGAGACACGGUCCAGACUCCUACGGGAGGCAGCAGUAGGGAAUCUUCCGCAAUGGGCGAAAGCCUGACGGAGCAACGCCGCGUGAGUGAAGAAGGUCUUCGGAUCGUAAAACUCUGUUAUUAGGGAAGAACAAAUGUGUAAGUAACUAUGCACGUCUUGACGGUACCUAAUCAGAAAGCCACGGCUAACUACGUGCCAGCAGCCGCGGUAAUACGUAGGUGGCAAGCGUUAUCCGGAAUUAUUGGGCGUAAAGCGCGCGUAGGCGGUUUUUUAAGUCUGAUGUGAAAGCCCACGGCUCAACCGUGGAGGGUCAUUGGAAACUGGAAAACUUGAGUGCAGAAGAGGAAAGUGGAAUUCCAUGUGUAGCGGUGAAAUGCGCAGAGAUAUGGAGGAACACCAGUGGCGAAGGCGACUUUCUGGUCUGUAACUGACGCUGAUGUGCGAAAGCGUGGGGAUCAAACAGGAUUAGAUACCCUGGUAGUCCACGCCGUAAACGAUGAGUGCUAAGUGUUAGGGGGUUUCCGCCCCUUAGUGCUGCAGCUAACGCAUUAAGCACUCCGCCUGGAGACACCAGUUGU